GACGAACGCUGGCGGCGUGCCUAAUACAUGCAAGUCGAGCGGACUGAAUGGGAGCUUGCUCUUGUUCGGUCAGCGGCGGACGGGUGAGUAACACGUGGGCAGCCUGCCCGCAAGACCGGGAUAACUCCGGGAAACCGGAGCUAAUACCGGAUAACACCGAAGACCGCAUGGUCUUUGGUUGAAAGGCGGCGCAAGCUGCCACUUGCGGAUGGGCCCGCGGCGCAUUAGCUAGUUGGUGAGGUAACGGCUCACCAAGGCGACGAUGCGUAGCCGGCCUGAGAGGGUGACCGGCCACACUGGGACUGAGACACGGCCCAGACUCCUACGGGAGGCAGCAGUAGGGAAUCUUCCGCAAUGGGCGAAAGCCUGACGGAGCGACGCCGCGUGAGCGAAGAAGGCCUUCGGGUCGUAAAGCUCUGUUGUGAGGGACGAAGGAGCGCCGUUUGAAGAAGGCGGCGCGGUGACGGUACCUCACGAGGAAGCCCCGGCUAACUACGUG
rnacentral:rRNA from 1 species